AGAGUUUGAUCCUGGCUCAGAACGAACGCUGGCGGCAGGCUUAACACAUGCAAGUCGAGCGCCCCGCAAGGGGAGCGGCAGACGGGUGAGUAACGCGUGGGAAUCUACCCAUCUCUACGGAACAACUCCGGGAAACUGGAGCUAAUACCGUAUACGUCCUUUUGGAGAAAGAUCUAUCGGAGAUGGAUGAGCCCGCGUUGGAUUAGCUAGUUGGUGGGGUAAAGGCCUACCAAGGCGACGAUCCAUAGCUGGUCUGAGAGGAUGAUCAGCCACACUGGGACUGAGACACGGCCCAGACUCCUACGGGAGGCAGCAGUGGGGAAUAUUGGACAAUGGGCGCAAGCCUGAUCCAGCCAUGCCGCGUGAGUGAUGAAGGCCCUAGGGUUGUAAAGCUCUUUCACCGGUGAAGAUAAUGACGGUAACCGGAGAAGAAGCCCCGGCUAACUUCGUGCCAGCAGCCGCGGUAAA
rnacentral:rRNA from 1 species